rnacentral:rRNA from 1 species
UACGAAGGGGGGCUAGCGUUGCUCGGAAUCACUGGGCGUAAAGGGCGCGUAGGCGGUCGUGACAAGUCACUUGUGAAAUCUCCGGGCUUAACUCGGAACGGUCAACUGAUACUGCGGGGCUAGAGUGCGGAAGGGGCAACUGGAAUUCUCGGUGUAGCGGUGAAAUGCGUAGAUAUCGAGAGGAACACCGGUGGCGAAGGCGGCAUCCUGGACCGACACUGACGCUGAGGCGCGAAAGCCCAGGGGGAGCAAACGGGG